AGUGAACGCUGGCGGUAGGCCUAACACAUGCAAGUCGAACGGCAGCACAGUAAGAGCUUGCUCUUACGGGUGGCGAGUGGCGGACGGGUGAGGAAUACAUCGGAAUCUACUUUUUCGUGGGGGAUAACGUAGGGAAACUUACGCUAAUACCGCAUACGACCUACGGGUGAAAGCAGGGGAUCUUCGGACCUUGCGCGAGUGAAUGAGCCGAUGUCGGAUUAGCUAGUUGGCGGGGUAAAGGCCCACCAAGGCGACGAUCCGUAGCUGGUCUGAGAGGAUGAUCAGCCACACUGGAACUGAGACACGGUCCAGACUCCUACGGGAGGCAGCAGUGGGGAAUAUUGGACAAUGGGCGCAAGCCUGAUCCAGCCAUACCGCGUGGGUGAAGAAGGCCUUCGGGUUGUAAAGCCCCUUUGUUGGGAAAGAAAAGCAGCAGGUUAAUACCCCGCUGUUCUGACGGUACCCAAAGAAUAAGCACCGGCUAACUUCGUG
rnacentral:rRNA from 1 species